GCGUGCAGCUGGAGUUUCAAAGGAGAAGGUUUCCGUUAGAAAUGUGCCGGGGUUCGGAAUGGACCACAGAAACACCACAUGCAAAAGUUCUUUAACUUUAUAAUAAUGGCUGUAAACGCAGCUGCAGAUAGUUACAUUAUGUUGAAUUUAGUUUGUUUUAGCUGUUAAUGCGGUCUGACAAGCAUUUAGAUGUGAGAAACUAUAAAUCAGAAAGCGACUAACAGUUCCAAAAGAGGGAAAGUCGCGUAUCACUGGCACAUACAGGCGGACGCGAUUAAAGUACGGCCACAAAACUAAAUCAGUAACACUGUGGCCCAGUCUCAACAAACGAUACGUCGUGAAUAAAAUCAGUUUAGCUGGUACUGAAACCGCUUGUUAUCUGUUUCGAGUUCGCAGACACAUAAUCUGGAGUAAGUCCCCCAAAGCCUGGAACCCCAAGCAAGCGGGAAUUCGGAAAAUGAGUUCUCUUAGUCUUUUUUUCCCCAAAUUCAUAUGGAUUAAUAUGAGCUGUCAUCCUUCCUGUGAACUACUCUGUCUUCACUGACUUUUCCUUGGUUAUGGUCUCUUGGCAAGGCUGGAUGUUAUUUUCCUGUAUUGUGUGAUAACCAACAUUCUUCUUUCUACAGUCUUCAGCAGUUUCAUAAUGCUUCGGUACUACUGAUGUCAUAUAAAUCAUAUGCAAAUGGAUGGGGGUAGAGAAAAGGAACAUAAAGAUCAGACGGAAUCAGGCAAGGUGUUGAAACGCACGUUGAUGUCCUGGAAGGUUUUCAUGGUCCCACUCGGCAGGAAGCGCAGAAAGGGAAUGAAAUCAGCAGGAUUACCGCUGCCCGCCACCUGGUUAAACUCGUCACUCAGGUUGACGAAGCUGA